AAUUUAAGAUACAAGAAACAUUGUACAUAGGACAAUGACGCCUCAGUCCCCUUUAAACUGCUCGUUAUAUUAACAAUGACAGGAAACUUUCUGUACAGACCUCGUAAACACCUUACAACCCUGGGAGGUAUGAAAUCAAGGCAGGGGUGGGUAAUUCUAAAGAGGUACUGGUGACAUCACUGGCAAUGCCAAAAAUUGGCAGCC